ACACGGCAUCCCGGCAGCUGCGGCUGAGCCAGUGGGGGAAGGCACAUUUGCCAAGAGCUGGCGAGGAUUCUGGGAUGUGUGUGUUGAGUCAAUUGUCCCCUGCAGGUUUCCAGGGAGCUGGUUUGCAUGAGUAAGACCUCUGCCUCGGCCGCUCAGAAGCUAGAUGUCCAAACACACCAGGCAAUGGCUGGGUGCAGCUAAGUCACCAGACAGACCACAAGGCUGCAAGCCCGGCCCGGAGGGAUCCCGGCAGCUAAGACGGAGCCUCGCUUCCCAAACGCCAGGCCACGGUGGUGAGUUUUACUACAUUCAGUGCCCAAAAGGAGAGGGGAAGCAGCCCCUUGACUUUAGUGCUGCAUCAUUCAUUGGUGGGAUGCAGAGAGAGAGGCUCUCCAAGCUUUUGGGAAGAAAAUUCUAGAAACACGUUUCCCUGGAGAGGAGGCUCUGCCAGUGUCA